ACGGGUGAGUAAUGCUCUGGGAAUCUGCCUUAUGGAGGGGGAUAACUACGGGAAACUGUAGCUAAUACCGCGUAUAAUCGAGAGAUGAAAGUGUGGGACCUUCGGGCCACAUGCCAUAGGAUGAGCCCAAGUGGGAUUAGGUAGUUGGUGAGGUAAAGGCUCACCAAGCCGACGAUCUCUAGCUGGUCUGAGAGGAUGACCAGCCACACUGGGACUGAGACACGGCCCAGACUCCUACGGGAGGCAGCAGUGGGGAAUAUUGCACAAUGGGGGCAACCCUGACGCAGCCAUGCCGCGUGAAUGAAGAAGGCCUUCGGGUUGUAAAGUUCUUUCGGUGGCGAGGAAGGCAUUUAGGUUAAUACACUAGGUGAUUGACGUUAACUACAGAAGAAGCACCGGCUAACUCCGUGCCAGCAGCCGCGGUAAUACGGAGGGUGCGAGCGUUAAUCGGAAUAACUGGGCGUAAAGGGCACGCAGGCGGUGAGUUAAGUGAGGUGUGAAAUCCCCGGGCUUAACCUGGGAAUUGCAUUUCAUACUGGGUCGCUAGAGUACUUUAGAGAGGGGUAGAAUUCCACGUGUAGCGGUGAAAUGCGUAGAGAUGUGGAGGAAUACCGAAGGCGAAGGCAGCCCCUUGGGAGUGUACUGACGCUCAUGUGCGAAAGCGUGCGGAGCACACAGGAUUAGAUACCCUGGUAGUCCACGCUGUAAACGAUGUCGAUUUGGG
rnacentral:rRNA from 1 species